UAGGGAAUCUUCCGCAAUGGACGAAAGUCUGACGGAGCAACGCCGCGUGAGUGAUGAAGGUUUUCGGAUCGUAAAGCUCUGUUGUUAGGGAAGAACAAGUGCCGUUCAAAUAGGGCGGCACCUUGACGGUACCUAACCAGAAAGCCACGGCUAACUACGUGCCAGCAGCCGCGGUAAUACGUAGGUGGCAAGCGUUGUCCGGAAUUAUUGGGCGUAAAGGGCUCGCAGGCGGUUGCUUAAGUCUGAUGUGAAAGCCCCCGGCUCAACCGGGGAGGGUCAUUGGAAACUGGGGAACUUGAGUGCAGAAGAGGAGAGUGGAAUUCCACGUGUAGCGGUGAAAUGCGUAGAGAUGUGGAGGAACACCAGUGGCGAAGGCGACUCUCUGGUCUGUAACUGACGCUGAGGAGCGAAAGCGUGGGGAGCGAACA
rnacentral:rRNA from 1 species